rnacentral:rRNA from 1 species
AGAGUUUGAUCAUGGCUCAGAACGAACGCUGGCGGCGUGCUUAACACAUGCAAGUCGCGUGCGCGGUUCCGUAGCAAUACAGACGGGCGCACGGCGCACGGGUGCGUAACACGUGGGCAAUCUGCCCUCCGAUGGGGAAUAACCCCGCGAAAGCGGGGCUAAUUCCGCAUAACAUUCCUUUGGCUUCGGCUGGGGGACUC